CCUGUGGAGUGUUGUACCAAACGAAAGUAGCCUUUGGCCAAAUCGGACACGAUGAAGCAGGAA
rnacentral:sRNA from 1 species